rnacentral:lncRNA from 1 species
GAUUUUUUCCCUUUUAAGGGACCACUCCCAACAAACUCACUCCACACUCUCCAAUAGAAAAGAGGAUAAAAAAAAUGAAUAGAAAUAAAGGGAAAAGGGGCCACCAACUAAAAUCUCUCUUGCUCACUAAAAAACAAAAGAAAUACUCUCUCUCUCACGGAUCUCCAACGGACAAAAGAGAAAAAGAAAAGAGAAAGUUGUAAAGUGGAUCACACACAAAAAAAAACCUCACGCCCUCUCUCCUCUCUCAGACUCUCUCUCUCACAUAAAAAAAGAAAGGAAGACAUUA